rnacentral:rRNA from 1 species
UACGUAGGGUGCAAGCGUUAAUCGGAAUUACUGGGCGUAAAGCGUGCGCAGGCGGUGAUGUAAGACAGGUGUGAAAUCCCCGGGCUUAACCUGGGAACUGCAUUUGUGACUGCAUCGCUGGAGUGCGGCAGAGGGGGAUGGAAUUCCGCGUGUAGCAGUGAAAUGCGUAGAUAUCGGGAGGAACACCUGUGGCGAAAGCGGCUCACUGGCUCAUUACUGACGCUCAUGCGCGACAGCGUGGGGAUCAAACAGG